rnacentral:rRNA from 1 species
GAUGAACGCUGGCGGCGUGCCUAAUACAUGCGAGCCGAGCGAACGGACGAGAAGCUUGCUUCUCUGAUGUUAGCGGCGGACGGGUGAGUAACACGUGGAUAACCUACCUAUAAGACUGGGAUAACUUCGGGAAACCGGAGCUAAUACCGGAUAAUAUUUUGAACCGCAUGGUUCAAAAGUGAAAGACGGUCUUGCUGUCACUUAUAGAUGGAUCCGCGCUGCAUUAGCUAGUUGGUAAGGUAACGGCUUACCAAGGCAACGAUGCAUAGCCGACCUGAGAGGGUGAUCGGCCACACGGGAACUGAGACAGGGUCCAGACUCCUACGGGAGGCAGCAGUAGGGAAUCUUACGCAAUGGGCGAAAGCCUGACGGAGCAACGCCGCGUGAGUGAUGAAGGUCUUCGGAUCGUAAAACUCUGUUAGUAGGGAAGAACAUAUGUGUAAGUAACUGUGCACAUCUUGACGGUACCUAAUCAGAAAGCCACGGCUAACUACGUG